GUCAGGAGUGUAAUCCCCCCAGCCUCGACCUGUGGAACCUGCCUUGAUACUGUUCAGUUUAGAGGUAUAAGUUGAAGUUGGCCGGAAUGUGGUCAUGUAGCGGUGGAAAUGGCUUAGAUAUGACACAAGAACACCGAUCGGGACGGCAGCUAGGCUAAGCUAUAACCUGACGGUCAUGCACGAAAGCGUGGGGAUCAAACAGGAUUAGAUAUCCCUCGCUAGUCACGCUGUAAACGAUGACUACUCGAUGUAGCCGAUACACUGUCAGCGUCUGAGCGAAAAGCAAUAAGUAAUCCACCUGGGGAGUACGAUCGCAAGAUUGAAACUCAAAGGAAAUGACGGGGGCCCGCACAAGCGGAGGAGCAUGUGGGUUUAAUACGAUGAUACGCGAGGAACGUUACCUGGGCUCGAACGUGAGAUGACUAUGGGAGAAAUCUCAUAUCUCUUCGGAGCAUUUUACGAGGUGCUGCAUGGUUGUCGUCAGCUCGUGCCGUGAGGUGUCGGGUUACGUCCCAUAACGAGCGCAACCCCUACCUUUA
rnacentral:rRNA from 1 species